rnacentral:lncRNA from 1 species
GGAACAUUCUGUGUGUAGGUAGCACAGAAGGUAGAAAAUUAAGUUUUAUACCUCAGAGUAGCUAGGGAGAAAGGUUAUCUGUCUUGAGGUUAUGUUCUUUUCUGUCUGUGAACAUGUGAUUCUAUUGAUGUUAAUUGGAUCCAAAUGUCUUCGGGCUUUAAGGAUUUAAAACUUAUUUCCGAAUCUUGCAUCUCAGAUCACAUCCUAUGCUGCCAGUUCUGGAGGAAAGAGAGGAUCUCCAGCUGCCCUUCAGUCAAAUUAGAAUUUGAUUAAACCUGUUGGGUUUGUUCUCCAAAGAGAAGCACUGACCUGCUCAGUCCCACGUGUACCGGCUGGUGCCAAGGCAGAAAACGGUUGAAGGGGCCAGAGACGAUCAGACUAAAGGAGGAACUUUGACAUUGGAAGGAGGAAUUCUCCAUGCCCAGACAGCAAAGCGGAGGAGGAUUGUAUCAGCCUCUUUCCCCUGGGGCUCAGUCCUGGGAUAUUUGCAGCCGCAAGCUUUGCGCAGGGUGCUCCGGCACAGCGUACGCGCUCCGGGGAGCGGGAGGCACCACGCGCGGCAGCGAGUGUCCCGGAGGCAGCGAGCGAGAGGAAGGCGCGCGGCCCCGCUCCAGAGUGAGCGCAGAGCCUUUGAGUGCCUAUGUUAAACUCGCGGAGGGGAAAGACCUAUCUAGUGUGAGUACAAAAAAGAUGCGUGUGUAUCCUGAGAUGAGUGCAUUAUGGAUAAAGAACUAUUAUCAUUCUUCCCACAUUCACAUUUCCAUCCACUUAGGAGAUAUAUACGUGUGCCUUGUUAGCAAUGAUGUUAUAAUGCAAAAGCUAAAGUUUUCA